UUCGCCCUUAGAGUUUGAUCCUGGCUCAGGAUGAACGCUGGCGGCGUGCCUAACACAUGCAAGUCGAGCGUGAACCAUUGAAAUGAAACUUCGGUCGAAUGACGAUGGGGAAAGCGGCGGACGGGUGAGUAACGCGUAGGCAACCUGCCCUGUACAGAGGGAUAGCCUCGGGAAACCGGGAUUAAGACCUCAUAAAGCCAAGAGACCACCUGGUAUUUUGGCCAAAGAUUUAUCGGUAUGGGAUGGGCCUGCGUCUGAUUAGCUGGUUGGUGGGGUAACGGCCUACCAAGGCAACGAUCAGUAGCCGACCUGAGAGGGUGAUCGGCCACAUUGGAACUGAGACACGGUCCAAACUCCUACGGGAGGCAGCAGUGGGGAAUAUUGCACAAUGGGCGAAAGCCUGAUGCAGCAACGCCGCGUGAGCGAGGAAGGCCUUUGGGUCGUAAAGCUCUGUCGGGAAGGAAGAUAAUGACGGUACUUCCCGAGGAAGCCCCGGCUAACUACGUGCCAGCAGCCGCGGUAAUACGUAGGGGGCGAACGUUAUCCGGAAUUAUUGGGCGUAAAGAGUGCGUAGGUGGUUUCUUAAGCGUGGGGUGAAGGCCAUUGGCUUAACCAGUGUAAGCCUCGCGAACUGGGGAACUUGAGUGCAGGAGAGGAAAGCGGAAUUCCUAGUGUAGCGGUGAAAUGCGUAGAUAUUAGGAGGAACACCAGUGGCGAAGGCGGCUUUCUGGACUGUAACUGACACUGAGGCACGAAAGCGUGGGGAGCAAACAGGAUUAGAUACCCUGGUAGUCCACACUGUAAACGAUGAAUGCUAGGUGUAGGAGGUAUCGACCCCUUCUGUGCCGCAGUAAACACAGUAAGCAUUCCGCCUGGGGAGUACGGUCGCAAGAUUAAAACUCAAAGGAAUUGACGGGGGCCCGCACAAGCAGCGGAGCAUGUGGUUUAAUUUGAAGCAACGCGAAGAACCUUACCAGGUCUUGACAUCCAGUUAAACUUGUAGAGAUAUGAGGUCCCUUCGGGGGAACUGAGACAGGUGGUGCAUGGUUGUCGUCAGCUCGUGUCGUGAGAUGUUGGGUUAAGUCCCGCAACGAGCGCAACCCUUGCCAAUAGUUACUAACGAGUGAAGUCGAGGACUCUAUCGGGACCGCCGGGGACAACUCGGAGGAAGGUGGGGAGGACGUCAAAUCAUCAUGCCCCUUACGACCUGGGGUACACACGUGCUACAAUGGCCGAGACAGAGAGCGGCGAAGGAGCGAUCUGGAGCGAAUCUCAAAAAAGCGGUCACAGUUCGGAUUGUGGGCUGCAACCCGCCCACAUGAAGCAGGAGUUGCUAGUAAUCGCGGAUCAGCAUGUCGCGGUGAAUAAGUUCCCGGGCCUUGUACUCACCGCCCGUCA
rnacentral:rRNA from 1 species